GAUCGCAUGUCUAGUAUAGCAAUUAUACCGUGAAACUGCGAAUGGCUCAUUAAAUCAGUUAUCGUUUAUUUGAUAGUACCUUACUACUUGGAUAACCGUGGUAAUUCUAGAGCUAAUACAUGCUGAAAACCCCGACUUCGGGAGGGGUGUAUUUAUUAGAUAAAAAACCAACGCCCUUCGGGGCUUCUUGGUGAUUCAUGAUAACUUCACGGAUCGCAUGGCCUUGCGCCGGCRACGGUUCAUUCAAAUUUCUGCCCUAUCAACUUUCGAUGGUAAGGUAUUGGCUUACCAUGGUUUCAACGGGUAACGGGGAAUUAGGGUUCGAUUCCGGAGAGGGRRSCUGAGAAACGGCUACCACAUCCAAGGAAGGCAGCAGGCGCGCAAAUUACCCAAUCCCGACACGGGGAGGUAGUGACAAUAAAUACUGAUACAGGGCUCUUUUGGGUCUUGUAAUUGGAAUGAGUACAAUUUAAACCUCUUAACGAGGAACAAUUGGAGGGCAAGUCUGGUGCCAGCAGCCGCGGUAAUUCCAGCUCCAAUAGCGUAUAUUAAAGUUGUUGCAGUUAAAAAGCUCGUAGUUGAAACUUGGGCCUGGCUGGCAGGUCCGCCUCACCGCGUGUACUUGUCCGGCCGGGCCUUUCCUUCUGGAGAACCUCAUGCCCUUCACUGGGUGUGUUGGGGAACCAGGACUUUUACUUUGAAAAAAUUAGAGUGUUCAAAGCAGGCCUUUGCUCGAAUACGUUAGCAUGGAAUAAUAGAAUAGGACGUGCGGUCCUAUUUUGUUGGUUUCUAGGACCGCCGUAAUGAUUAAUAGGGACAGUCGGGGGCAUCAGUAUUCAAUUGUCAGAGGUGAAAUUCUUGGAUUUAUUGAAGACUAACUACUGCGAAAGCAUUUGCCAAGGAUGUUUUCAUUAAUCAGUGAACGAAAGUUAGGGGAUCGAAGACGAUCAGAUACCGUCGUAGUCUUAACCGUAAACUAUGCCGACUAGGGAUCGGGCGAUGUUCUUUUUUCUGACUCGCUCGGCACCUUACGAGAAAUCAAAGGUUUUUGGGUUCUGGGGGGGAGUAUGGUCGCAAGGCUGAAACUUAAAAGAAAAUUGACGGGAAGGGCACCACCAGGGCGUGGARYCUGCGGCUUAAUUUGACUCAACACGGGGAAACUCACCAGGUCCAGAUGAAAUAAGGAUUGACAGAUUGAGAGCUCUUUCUUGAUUUUUCAGGUGGUGGUGCAUGGCCGUUCUUAGUUGGUGGAGUGAUUUGUCUGCUUAAUUGCGAUAACGAACGAGACCUUAACCUGCUAAAUAGCCAGGCUAGCUUUGGCUGGUCGCCGGCUUCUUAGAGGGACUAUCGCUCAAGCCGAGAUU
rnacentral:rRNA from 1 species